CUGACACCCCUCCCAGGGUGAGGCAGGCUUUAUAUCUUGUUAAUUAGGUAUCAGAUUCAGCUGGAGAGUUACUGACAGAUCUGAGCCUUUGGUGAAGUCCAGCCCCCAAGUGCUGCAGGCAAUACAAGAAUAAACAUGAGUUAUCCAAAGUCCUAAAAUGGCUCAGAGGAAGAACGGCAGGAUACGGUCCAGAAGAACCACAGUUCAAAUCCAAUAUCAGGUGUUUCCGGAGCGACCACGUCUGGCAGACUAGAUGUCACGGCGUGAUCCGUGACAGUACCAUACUCCGAC